rfam:Gossypium arboreum cultivar AKA8401 contig_4454_5, whole genome shotgun sequence.
AAACCAUGGAGAGGGCAUCUUUGCACCAGCAACUUAAAUCUCUCCCAAGCUUUAUGAAAACUUUCUCAUUCAAUUUGUUUAAAAGUUGCGAUCUCUCUUCUCAGUUG